rnacentral:rRNA from 1 species
UACGUAGGGGGCGAGCGUUGUCCGGAUUUAUUGGACGUAAAGAGCGUGUAGGCGGCCAGGUAGGUCUGCUGUGAAAACUCGAGGCUCAACCUCGAGACGUCGGCGGAAACCAUCUGGCUAGAGUCCGGAAGAGGAGAGUGGAAUUCCUGGUGUAGCGGUGAAAUGCGCAGAUAUCAGGAAGAACACCCGUGGCGAAGGCGGCUCUCUGGGACGGUACUGACGCUGAGACGCGAAAGCGUGGGGAGCGAACAGG